rnacentral:rRNA from 1 species
GACGAACGCUGGCGGCGUGCCUAAUACAUGCAAGUCGAACGCGGUUGGGACGGGUGAGUAACACGUGGGUAACCUCCCAUCAGAGGGGAUAACACUUGGUAACAGGUGCUAAACUGUUACUGAUGGUUGGACCCGCGGUGCAUUAGCUAGUGGGUGAGGUAACGGCUAACCAAGGCCACGAUCCGUAGCUGGCCUGAGAGGAUGAUCAGCCACACUGGAACUGAGACACGGUCCAGACUCCUACGGGAGGCAGCAGUAGGGAAUAUUCGGCAAUGGGCGAAAGCCUGACCGAGCAACGCCGCGUGAGUGAAGAAGGUUUUCGGAUCGUAAAGCUCUGUUGUUAGGGAAGCGGUAUCUAACCAGAAAGCCACGGCUAACUACGUGCCAGCAGCCGCGGUAAUUC